UGGGGAAUUUUGGACAAUGGGGGCAACCCUAUCCAGCCAUUCCGCGUGAGUGAAGAAGGCCUUCGGGUUGUAAAGCUCUUUUGUCCGGGAAGAAACGGUUUUGGUUAAUUCCCAAGACUACUGACGGUACCGGAAGAAUAAGGACCGGCUAACUACGUG
rnacentral:rRNA from 1 species